rnacentral:rRNA from 1 species
GACGAACGCUGGCGGCGUGCUUAACACAUGCAAGUCGAACGAAGAGCGACGGAAGCUUGCUUCUAUCAAUCUCAGUGGCGAACGGGUGAGUAACGCGUAAUCAACCUGCCCUUCAGAGGGGGACAACAGUUGGAAACGACUGCUAAUACCGCAUACGAUCUAAUCUCGGCAUCGAGGAUAGAUGAAAGGUGGCCUCUACAUGUAAGCUAUCACUGAAGGAGGGGAUUGCGUCUGAUUAGCUAGUUGGAGGGGUAACGGCCCACCAAGGCGAUGAUCAGUAGCCGGUCUGAGAGGAUGAACGGCCACAUUGGGACUGAGACACGGCCCAGACUCCUACGGGAGGCAGCAGUGGGGAAUCUUCCGCAAUGGACGAAAGUCUGACGGAGCAACGCCGCGUGAGUGAUGACGGCCUUCGGGUUGUAAAGCUCUGUUAAUCGGGACGAAAGGCCUUCUUGCGAAUAGUGAGAAAGGA